GUUGGAGUUCGGAAGACGGACUCAAAGCCAGGCACAACUUGACAAAACAAUUGCUCGGUAAGUUUAAUCGUUUAUUUGGAGUUUACUUUUUGUUAGCAACAUCAAGCUAUACUAUUUGUUCCAAGAGUUCAAGGGUAAAAUUUUGGUGUUAGUGUCAAGGUUUGUUUUGGAACAUAAUGGAUCGUAUUGCUUCGAUGAUUAGAUUCAGUGAUGUGGAUGCAAAUCAAAUUUAACGGUUGUUUUAAUCAAGCAGUGUUUUAUCCAGCAUCAGUACAGAGCUGAAAUGACGGCUCGAGGGGAACUCAAUCAGUCUGCAUUUAUGUGAUAGCAGUGUCGGCUGGUGAGAAAAAUAAUAGGUGGGGCUGAAGUUUUGGAUACCAGAGCCCUGUAGGGGGGUCCGGGGGUAUCUUCCCCCGGGAGAUUUUUUUCGUUAUCAAAAGGUAGAUGUAACAGUCUGGUGCUUUCUAAGAAAAUGAUUAAGGAAACAUACGAUGUUGACCUACAAAGACAAAUGUGGUGGGGAUACUGUAUUCCAACUUAUUAACAGGGUAUUAUAGCUGAAACACAGCCUACCUAGAUUCAAUGUUAUGCUAUGAUAUAGAAACUGACAGUAGCAUACUCUUACUCGUGUACAUCCACCUGCAUCUCAACAGGUUAGGCUACAGCAAAGGAGCAUGCAAAGACAACUGCAGAAAAAUAGUAAGGAGCAGACCCACAUUUAUAACGAAUCAGGCUGCAUAUCAAAGUAAUCAGCCAAGAAAAACAACACAAACAUUUGCUUUAAAUACAGAACAGUUUUAUUACAUUUGAUAUUUCAGUUGAACUGAAUUGAAACUGGGUGAACAAAUACAGGGUUCCCACUCUUUUAUAGAAAUCAUUCUCCAGGAUUUUUCAGGACGUUUUCAUGCCGCCUUAAAAUUUAUUGAUUUCUAACAUUGUGGCAUGAGCAUUGUCUAUAAGCUAUCUUUUUAGUCUGGCUUUUAUGUAAUGUCUCACUAUAAAAAAUUUAUAUUAAGUUUUAAUCUACUCUACUUUUCUACAAACAGAUUUUGCUGAUUGCCUCUUUCACUAGCAAACUAGAAAUUUUAUUUUGCCAGCUUUAUAACAUAUAUACAUAUACAUAUAUAUAUAUAUAUAUAUAUAUAUAUAUAUAUAUAUAUAUAUAUAUAUAUGUAUAUAUUUACAGUACAGUCCAAAAGUUUGGACACACCUUCUCAUUCAACGCAUUUUCUUUAUUCUUAUUACUAUUUUAAUUGUAGAUUCUCAGUGAAGGCAUCAAAACUAUGAAUGAACACAUGUGGAAUCAUGUGCGUAAGAAAAAAAGUGUGAAAUAACUGAAAACAUGUUUUAUAUUUUAGAUUCCUCAGAAUAGAGACCCUUUGCUCUUUUGAUAGCGCUGCAAACUUUUGCUGUUCUCUCAAUGAGCUUCAUGAGGUUGUCAUUAAAUAGUUUUUACUUCACAGGUGUGCCUUGUCCAGGUUACUUCAUGACUAACAGAGUCAGUCACUAAGUACUUCUGUCCUCAAGAGCAAAGGGUGGCUAAUUAUAAAGAAACUAGCAUAUAAAACAUGUUUUCAGUUAUUUCACACUUUUUUAUCAGUACAAAAUUCCACAUGUGUUCAUUCAUAGUUUUGAUGCCUUCAGUGAUAUUCUACAAUGUAAAUAGUCAUAUAAAAAAAUGAAGAAAAGACAUUGAAUGAGAAGGUGUGUCCAAACUUUUGGCCUGUACUGUAUAUAUAUAUAUAUAUAUAUAUAUAUAUAUAUAUAUAUAUAUCCCUUGUGUAACCAUUAGAUUUACAUCAGUUGUUUACGCUCAGUGGCUUUUUUUAGCAACUGAGCCACUUAGACAUUGACUGCUGUAAAAACAUAUUGGAUUCAUAUUUUUUCAGUUUUUUUUUUUGACAUAUCUCUAAAUUAACUUCUGCUCUAUUCAAAACUAGUAAAUGUUUCAUUAAGAAUCAAAAUUUUAACCCUUUAAGGGCCAAUUUAAAACAUAAAGUCAAAAAUAUUUUUAUAUAGUUUUAUAAGAAAACAUAAUCAGAAACUGGAUAUCUCUAGCAGGGUAUUAUAGUCUUAAAUAUGUAAAGGAUUAGUAAUAUCAUUGACUUUGAUGCCUUUUAAGUUUUUUUUGUAGGAUCAGAUUUCCAAAAAACAUCCUUUGUUAACGCUCAGUGGCAAAAAAAGCCACUGACAUUGACUGCUGUAAAAACAUAUUUGAUUCAUAUUUUUUCCAGAUUUUUUUUCACACAUAUCUCAAUUAACUUCUGCCCUGAUCGAAAAUAGUACAUUUUUUAUCUAAAAACAUUUUUUUAAGCCUUUGAGAGUCCAUUCAAAACAUAACGCCACUGAUAUGGUACAAAAAUACACAAAAAAUACCAAUUUUAUUAUCAGAAAUAGGCAAUUUUUAAUGUGUUGCAUAAUCUUGGCCUUGUUAAGGAUAAGGAACCUCAGAAACCUUGAUACAUUUUUGUGUAACAUCUGACUGUCAUAAAAAAAAUUACACUUACACUAUUCAUGUCUUUUAUACACUUGCAUUUUCUUUGCGUACCAGCAGGUGGAAGUAAUGAAAAAAUGUAACCAAUAUUAACAGUAGAACCAAACCAUAUUUUAUCGCUCAAAAUGCAAUAAAACAAAAGCCUCAAAUAUACACCAACAGAGUAUGAAACCAGAACAAACGACUAACUUUUGAGGGUGAAGCGGUGGAAAGGAUUGAAAGAAACCUGGGAAGCCUAAGAGAGUGAAUGUGUGAGAAAUCGAGUGAGCAAAGAGAGAUAAAAUGUAAGUGUGUGUGUGUGUGUGUGUGUGUGUGUGUGUGUGUGUGUGUGUGUGUGUGUGUGUGUGUGUGUGUGUGUGUUCAAUGUUUGAAGCAAGACCGGCAGGAGAUCUCUCUGUGUUCAUGCCAGAUGUGUUUCCAAACAGGCCAGACAAAAUCGGAAGCCCCAAAAAAUGUGUAUUUGCGUGCGUGUGUGCAUGCGUGCAUGUGCAUGUGCAUGUGAGAGAGAGAGGGGAGGAGCCUGCAUGUCAUGACCCAGCACUGACCUGGCCACAAAAGUAAACUAUGUUCUUCAGCUCUCAGAAGUACAGAGAGGUCGAAAAAAAUGAACAAAAACAAAAGUGAGCUGUUAUGUCUGGAGGUGUUUAUAAACCUGCUAUCUGGCCUUUUGAUCACUGGGGGCCCCAACCCUGGCUCCACCCCUGCAAUCCACAACUUGCAGAUUGUAAUGACCAUUUUCUCAUGAGAAGAGCAAGAGAAGCAUGAAGAGAAGCUUCAGCACCACGGAGGCCCUUGCAAUGGUCAUUGAUUCUGAUGGGAUGGAAUCUGACCCCCCACAGGAUCCAUCAUCAUUGUCUGGCCUGUUUUGUUCGAGGGGUGAAUCUACUGCCUGGCUGUGGGAUGUGGAUCUCUCCUGGAACCGUAGAAAGUGAUUCAGGAGGAGGCUUUUCCUGGAGGACCUUGGAACGGCUUUGGUGUUAAAAAGAACUAACAAAACCUUUGAGUUCUGUGUGAAACACAUCUGGCAUGAACACAGAGUGAUCUCCUGCAGGUCUUGCUUCAAACACUGAACACACACACACACACACACACACACACACACACACACACACACAGAGCUGAGUUCUGCCUCAGCACAUUACGACCAAGCUGGUACCGAAAGAGAAUGUGAGUAUAGAAAAGACAUGAAUAGUGCAAGUGUUUUUAUGAGUGUUUUAUGAAAGUUUCUAUGAAAAUUAGACAUUACACAAAAUGCAUCAUAGUUUCUGAGGUUCCUAAUCCUUCACGAGGCCAAGACUAUGCAACAUGUGAAAAAUCACCGGUUCCGGAUUAUGUUUUAUGGUGAAAAUAGGUCAUUUUUGUGUAUUUUUCUACCAUAUCAGUGACAUUAUGCUUUGAAUGGACCCUCAAAGGGUUAAAAAAUGUUUUUAGAUGAAACAUUUACUAGUUUUGAUCAAAGCAGAAGUUAAUUAAGAGAUAUAUGAAAAAAAAUGGAAAAAAACAUUAACCCAAUAUGUUUUUACAGCAGUCAAAGGAAGUGGCUUUCUUUAGCCACUGAGCGUUAACAAAGGAUAGAAAAAAAAUUGCCCAGCCCGUAUUUUUGACCUGGUGAAAAUUUUGAAGUCAUAUUUUCAAAGUGUCCAUCAAUAUAGGCAUCUGCACAAAAAUCAUCCCAUUUGCUGCAGUAAAAAAAAAGUUACAUGGAAAUUAGUGGCUAAAUUUUGCCCCAAGUGGCUUUUUUUAGCCACACCGUUACAUAAGGGAUAUAUAUCCCUUAUGUAACGGUGUGGCUAAAAAAAGCAUUUACACACACACACAUAUAUAUAUAUAUAUAUAUAUAUAUAUAUGUAUAAUGUUUCUAUUUGCGACAGAGGCUGAGAUAUCAGUUUUUUUGUAAACCUCAACAGUUAAGAAAACCUCAGGACCUGGGGGCCCGUCUAGGGUUCCCAACCGUACCGUAAAAAACGGGAUCGUACCAUAUUUGAAAACAAAAAGACAUGUCCCGUACUGAAUUAAAAUGGGAUACUCCUUUUCCCGAAUUUUCUGACAGCGUCUCUCUGCCUAACACACUGUCACAGGCUCACAUCAGCAGCUUGGCAGCUGAGCUAUGGGACAAGUUACAAAACACAGCAGACUACCAGCUAUGGGUUGUUAACAAGAGCGUGUUACGCGUUAUACUACACUAUGCUGCAGCGAGGCUUUCAGUUUUACACAGCUCUGGACACAAGUACUUAGUAAAACAAAGAGGGGUGUGUGAUUAUGUCCUCUCUGGUUCCAUAGGCAGUUUUAGGAUUUGCCAACAGGGGGUGCAACUUGCCAGAGAAGUAAGUCUUUUCUUUUGGUUUGUUUUUUGCAAGGCCAAACCUGGAAGACUCAUGUUUACCGAUUUACAAUAGGAUGUGAUGUUUUAGUUUGUAAUAUUUUAAGGAGGUUAUAUAAUUAAGGUUAACUGUAAUAAAGUGUUUGCACUUUGACUUCUUGAAUAAGUCAAACAUUGUUUCAAAAUGGUGACAUUGCACUAUAUGUUCCAUGAAGAAUUAUUAUUAUUUUGCACACAAUAAAUUCUUCAAUGAUACAUUAACUGCGUUUCCAUUACCCAUAGAUUUGCGCAAAACCUAAAUAUAGCAAUAGAAAACUGGUAAUGGAAACACCUAAAUUUCAGAAAAACCUCUCAAAUAUCGCUAAAAGGUUUUUACGCUCUCAUGAGGUGGUUUUUCAGACGUGUCGAUAUAUAAGUAUAUUGCAAAAGUGUAAUGGAAACACUAUUCUUGCAAUUCUCUGUCACCGGACGUGACGUAGCGGGUCAAGUGACCAGUUCAUUUCAAGCGAAAUGUGUGUAUGGACGGGGGAGGAGACGGAGUUAUUUCUGAGGUUUUGAAUUGUAUUUGUAUUUUUCUGAAGUUUUGAAUCCACAAUUCGUCCAUGAAUUCCUCAUUAACAAUCCUCCCCCAGAAAUCCCUCAUCCGUGUCCGCUCCCAUACAUACGGGUUUGAAUACGGAAGUGAGCAGAAUGACCGAACAUGGAGCUAAACGCAGAGCUGAGGGCAGCAAAACAGUUGUCAGCUGUGACUUUGGGUCAUCCUCAGAAGAUGUUAUAGUUGAGGAGUUAUUCAACGUCUCUCCAAAGUGACGUCGAGCAAUUAAGCCGAUAAACUGGCAACAUAACAAAUCUUUUCUCCUCGAGUGAUUAUGCGGGAAGCAUGAAAAUGCGAGCGGAGUCUGUACAGCCUGUCACUGCUGACGGUACGAGUAGCAUUAGCAGUUUAGACACAACUAGCGGUGCAGCCACCAGACCAAAGCAGCAAUCAGUCAUAUCCAUACCUGCCAACACUCCCAUUUUCCCCGGGACUCUCCCCUAUUUCAGACGUAGGCCUGUCACGAUAACAAAUUUUGCUGGACGAUAAUUGUGCUACAAAUUAUCGCCGAUAAACGAUAUUAUUGACACCGUUUUUUAAAUUAUACAUAAUGAUAUUAUAUGGCAUAAUAAUGCGAGUACACCUUGUCAAAAGUGAUAAACUUUAAUUUCCACUGUCUGUCAGCGCGCACCAUUUUGCGCUGUUUUGUUUAUAUUUGCUUUGCUUACCAAACGCUUCAGUAAGCGGUACCUGUCGGGACGAUGGCUCCGCAGCACCUCCGGUGGUACUUUUUUUGCUCAGUUGAGAAAAAUGGAGGGGAUGAUUGUGCUUGAGGUGCACAUGCAUGUUCGUCGUAUUCCCCUUCUUUGUCACCACAACUUUGGAACAAAUACGACAUAUCGGCUCGUCUGUAUAUGUGGGGUCACCUCUUUCAUUUGGUUUAAAGCAGUGUUGUUUUCGUCAUAUUUCGUCAAAUAUUUUCGUCAACGCCAGCGUCAAAAAAGGUAAAUAAUUUCAUCAACGAGAACAACACUGGUUGUUUUCGUUGACUAAAAUAUUUCCCUUUCUUCCACGACGAAGACGCAACGUUGACGAGCUAAACAUAAGUCGGAGAUGACUAAAAUGUGACGAGACGAAAGUGCGUUUACGUUGAUGGGACGAGACGAAAAUGACAAACAGACUUGCAAAACUCAGUCAGUUAAACGCUCAACAUACAGGAGCAGCUUCAGUCCGCUCUGACAGCUCUCAUCAGCCUGCUGUGCUCCUCCAACACACAGACACACACGCGCGCACACACACACACACACACACACACACACGAGUUUUGUGGUUGACGAAAACAAAACUGGUUUAAAGCCGAAAUAUUCCCACACUUGGGCUGUUGCGUUCGGUUUAGACACCAAAGCUGUCGUGUUCAUUCUGUUUGCUUGCUUUUCACUCACGACGCUCACUUGCAGCACUGUAUCCAAAAGUCUGUGUCUGUGUGCCUGACUGUGCGCGCCAGCCCCCUCGUGACAAAGACACUGAAUGACUGACAGGAGGGUUCACUAACUCCGUUCAUUCCGCUAUAGAGCCAACGCCCCCAGGUGCCGAGAACAAUGCACAGAGUGAGACCUCUUCUCUCAUCCAGCGUGUUUGGUAGCGAGAGAGGAGGAAAACAAACGCACGUCAAUUAUCGAGGCUGGCAAAAUGACCGACCUCGUUUUUAUUUACCGAGCGAUAAGGCGAUUUAUUGAUUAUCGCGACAGGCCUAUUCAGACGUAUCUCCCGCCCACUCCCGGUAUUAUCAUUUCUCCCGGGAAUUUCUCGUAGCAUGGUCCGCAUUCAUUCAUGAAUCAGAUCACUAUAUUUGCUCAAAGUUUCCAGACAACCGGAGAUUGUCCUUUGUUUCUGCUGAGCCUUACAGACAGUGGAUUGACACUUUUACUUUACAGUUUGGGACGAUUCAGGUCGGUUUCAGCUGUAAACUACAGGGCUCUCAAGUCUCACGCAUUCAGCGUGUGACACACGCAUUCCCACCUGUUCACACGCUCACACUCCACACAUCGUAUUUCUCACGCAUUUAAAUGAACAUGGUGAUGUCCACCACGUUGCCCCUCUUUAACAAUGGAACAGGUAGAAAUCAACUGAGUUUCUCCGAGAGUUCAGAAGCUGCGUGCCAGGCGCAAGCCAAUCAAAUAAAGUAUAUCUACUGAACAGCCAAUCAAAAAGCAGCAUGUCUGUAUCCGGGUAGAAAUAGAGCAGGUUUUUAAAAGGACGAGAUAGACCCGAUGAUUACAGUAAGUCAGUAACCUACACAUGCAGAGACCUCAACACCUCAUGGCAUAUAAACUCAUAUAAUAAACUAAAACCCUAUGCUAUUGCUAUUGACAGCUGUAUUGAUGAAUUUAGCCUCUGUACAGCCAUUUCCAGCCAUUUUCCCCUCCACAAAAGCAGCAUUUCUCAUAUAUUUUUUUUAAAGUUCUGAUACUCAUGACAGUGUAACGCUCAUGUACCAAAGGAUUAAGUAUCUCCAUGUUUGUGAAACCUAUACUAAAGUACAAUUCAUCUAAAUGCUCCACAGUGCUGAUUUUAACAACUCUCCUCCACACCACAGGUAACUUUACGACUUAAUUCUUAUAAAUUAAUGACUUUUAUUCUCCUAAAUAAUAACUUUGUUGUCUAAAAUUUUAAUUUUUUUUUUCUUAAUGUGGCCCUCACACUCUGUUGUAUUUAAGAGAUUAUUAUACUAAUAAUUAUCAUCAAUCACUCUACACCCCCCCAAAGAAAUCUCACUCUAAGCUUAGUUCAAAACUUGAGAGCCCUGAAACUAUAUUAAAGAAGUGUUUAUUGGAAAAUGAACACUUCAAUGAAAAGAAACAAACGCGAGCUAUGCGAGAGUGAUGCGUUCAGGGCAGCCUCGGAUAAAAGAGUGCUGUAUUUCAUGCACAGAUGUUAAGAGAGCCUCAUACGGGAGAGCAUGUAGAACAUGUAGCACUGUUGAGUUAAAAUGUUUUUUAGAUUUUUCUAAGUGUAUCUUAUUCAGUUUGCUUUGUUAUUUACUUUAUAUGUUAAUAAAAUGUUGAACUAAUCUCUAGUUUUUUUAGUUUUUAGUACAGAUACUUUAAAACUGGCGCUUUAAAAAAAAAUCGUGAUAUUAAUCGAGAUCGGACGAUAUGACAAAAUAAGUCGUGAUCAUGUUUUUUGCCAAAUCGCCCAGGCCUAAUCCAGACUCUAAACAUCUGAAUCCACCCUAUUAUCAGACUUUGGCUCACCACCCCUAUCGGAGUUUCGACCGAAAUGACCUGUUUGCAGUGUGUCAAGUGGACCCAGGCUGAUCUUUCUGCUAUCUUAACAGCAGUGGGGGUUGUCAACAGUACCUGGUAUGGACCUUCCCACUUAGGUGAAUGCCAAUGCUUUCUUUUAACACUUCUUAUUAGCACCCAGUCUCCAGGCUUCAGUGGCUGAGUCUCCUGUUGAGAAUCAGCGGGAUGAUUGUCAGUAUACUGGUUUUUGUUUUUCUAAUAUCUUUCUCAUAUAGUCUGCAAGUGUGCUGUCGUCAUCUGUUUCCCAUUGGUUCUUAAACUGGGCCAGCCUGUAUGUUCUGCCAAAUAAGGUCUCAUAAGGAGUCAAUCCACUAGUGCUUGUUAUAUUGAUGUAAAGUUCUACGAGAUCAAGACACUGUGUCCAUGGUCUGUUUCUUUCUUCCAUACAUUUUUUUAGUCUAUUUUUUAAAGUUCCAUUCAUUCGUUCUACUAAGCCUGCACUUUGAGGGUGAUAUGCACAAUGAUGUUUAAGGUUUAUGGAACAUUUGUCCUAUUUUUUUAAGGAUUUGGUUCGCAAAAUGAGUGCCAUUGUCGCUACGAAUUAUUUCUGGGAUACCAUACUGAGGUAUGAUGUCUUUACAAAGUGCUUUAGCGACUGUCAAUGCAUCUGGUGUUUUAGUCGGGAAAAGCUCUACCCAUUUGGAAAAUGCAUCUGUUAUCACAAGACAGUAUCUUUUUCCUUCACUUGGGCUCAGUUCGAUAAAGUCCAUGUGUAUGACCUGGAAGGGAUAUUUUGGUUCAGGGAAACAACGUGUUUUCAUUCUGAGAUUUCCCUGAGGAUUGUGUUUGGCGCAUGUUAAACCUGCUCUGCAAAAAAUUUUUGAAUAAGAGUUAAAUCCAUAAGUAGGAAAAUGUUGUUGUAUCUGUCCUACCAUCCUUCCUGUUGAGACAUGUGUGGGACCAUCGCUCAAUAUUGCUCCCCAUUUAAAAAGAUUCUUUGGAAGGAUAGGUUUCCCUUCAGGUCAUAUAUAGAUGCCAUUUUGCAAAUGUGCGUCUUGUUUAGCCCAGAGUUCAAUUUCAGUUUUUGGGCUCUGUUGUUGCAUUGUUUUAAGAACGUCACCAGAAAGUGCGUCAGUAUACUCCAAGGUGCAGACUGAGAUCUCUCCCUCAGCUGGAGCCUUGGCUGUUUUAUCUGCAAAUGCGUUUACCAGCGAGACGGGGUCUGUUCCGGAAGUGUGGGCGGCACAUUUGCAAAUAGCUAACCUUUGUGGCAGAUGUACAGCAGCAUUUACUCUAGGUCAGGAAGUUGCAUUGUUCACGAUUUUGUCAUAGAGCUAUGGAAGCAGAAAGAGGGUUGGUGGCUCUCUCAUUUCUUUAAAAAAAAGACCUUUUCAACUGCUGAAAUGGCGUUGCCACUUUUGGAUGUCAUGUGGUAUGUGGUAUUUCCACAAAUAUGUAUUUUAAUUAUAAAUUUCAUAGUGACCUUUUAUGGGAAGCUAGUGGGCUUUGUUUAUUUGGCUAAUCCUGUAUCAAUAAGAUUUGACUGAACUUGAAAAUGUCAUGCAGUGCGACCAAUUAUCAUGUGGUGCGACCACUGCAGAUUGUUUUCCAUCAUAAAUAUAUGCCCUAGAUUGGCAGUAUUUACGCUUUUUAUAUUCAAUUGAUGAAUGAUAAACACAAAGAACUUAAUUUUUAGUAUUAUUUUGAAUUUUUUUUGUUAUUUGAUGUCAUUUUGCUAAUAUUUCAGAAAUAAUGGUUAGUUCAUCUUUGUACAAAAUAAGAAAAAAACUAUGCCAUUUCACUUACGGUAUUUAUGCCGUUGUUAGCAAUUUAUUUACUUUCAUGUAUCUAUUUAAGUCAUUUUAAUUAAGUUUACCAGAUGCCACUGUCGAGCUAAGUUAAAAGUGCUCGCAAUAGGCAGCGUGUCAACUCUGACCCUGAAGCAUGUUGUUCAUGCAAGGACUGGUCAACGAUUGGGCCAAGAUUGGGCAAAGUUUAAAAACGCCUGAGGCCUGUACUACAAAGCUGGAUUUGAUCGUAGCGAGAUAACUUCUUGAAUAAUUCCUGGGUUUACCGCACGAUGAAGGUGGAUUUCUUUCUAUCCAGGUCUGUUGCCCCAGUAACUUACGCGGAACAUCAAACCUGCUCCGGAGAAGGUUAUGUUUCAGGAUAAGAUCUCAGCAGGUAUAAAAGACCGCCCACUGACCAAUCAGAUCUCUUAGAAAAUGGCUUGCCCACUUUUGCCGGAUCCCGGGGACAUCGUUGCACGGAUAGUGAGAGGAGCGCUUCGCCGAGAACGAUAUAUUCAAGAUCGUUCAAAUCUGUUUGAUUUACCUGAUGACGUUCUCUAUGAAUGUUACAGGUUUUCCUCGGACGGCCUCAAUAGGUAGCAUGAAGUCUAAGCAAUGCACUAACAUUUGCCAAGCUCCAAGUUCCAAUUUCAUGCAGCAUAUCAGUCAUACUUCAUAUUAAUCUCGUUUCAUAUUUUCUAUAUUUUUAUCUAUCUUUUUUCCAAUGUCUUGCACUGAUAUGGGUGGCUUUAAUUUCAUUGUACUGCUUAUAAUGACAAUAAAAGGCAUUCUGAUUCUGAUCAUUCAGAAUUUAUUGAAGCAGAUUAGAAAACUCCUCUUAACCCCAAAUGUGUCUACAGAUGACAUGUGACCAUUCGAUGAUGGAGAAAAAAGAAAAAAAGGCAGUGUGAGGAAAUCACUGUUUACGUGUUGAAAUGUGUACAAAUUAAAUCUUCCAGUAAACCAGCUAACCACUUUGACGGAUGUUUUUAGAUUUAUUUUUAUUUGCUCCCACGUACUCUUUUCCCCACUACUGUUGUAUCUGAAAUAAUGAGGUCAACAGGAGGUUAUCACACACGCUGCAUGACAACAUAUAAGGGGGCCAUAAAUUUAUGAACAUACAAAUGUAAUUGACACAAUCGAUGAUUUUUUUGCCAGCAGUCCCUGCGGCUUUUAGCAGCUGCGGCUGUCCUGCUCCUCACUGUUAUAGUGUUGCAGUACUCCUCGUAUUUGUGUAAAAUAAUGCUCUGUUCCUCGGCUGUGAAAUAUGACGUGCAGCCUUCUCCAUUGUUGAGAGUGGUCCGGUGGCACUGACCCCGCCCCCUUUACGUGUGCGCGCACAGAUCUAGACUGACCAUAACUGAAUUUAGUUAGCUAGUUGAUAUCCUGCCUCGUAGUACAGCAGAUCGGGAUUACGGAGAUCUGGUGAAAUUGAUCGAGUUGUCGCAGAGUUAUCCUGGUUGCGUUAAUCCAGCUUCGUAGUGCAGGCCUCUGGACCACGGACACAAACACACACAGAGUUAAUUUUAUGUCAAAAAGGGAAAUAAAAUGUUUGUGUUCAUGUUCGAAAUGUUAAUAAAAUUUGGUUUGAAUAUAAAAUUUGCAUGAAAUUAAUUGUUCAUAGGUCUCUUUAAAUUGAUUUUUAAUGAUACAAGGUCUUCAAGUCAUUUGGCGCGACCACCAAUCAUGUGGUGCAACCAAUAAUAACAUUUCUACUAGGCCUGCACGAUAUAUCAUUUCAGCAUCGUCAUCGCGAUGUACGUGUGUGCGAUAGUCACAUUGCAGAGCCUGCGAUGUCGGAGGUGAAUGAACUCAGUUAAUUUCCAUGGUAGCCGACUGAGACACACUGCAUGUGACUCUGCAUGUGCUGUGCAGCGAUCCACCAUUCACCUUCUUUCUUUACUCAGUUGCCAAUCAGACUCAGUUCUCAGUUGCCAAUCAGACUAACCUGCCAGCUGUCAAUCAAAAUCAGAGAGGAGGAAACCCACCCCUGCACAUGUUCUGCACAUGGAGUGAGACGCCUGUCCGCUGAGAAUUACUUUCAGAACAUUCUUCAUCACUGUUUAGCCCAACAAAUAAGUAUGGGUUUUAAAUUGUACAUUUCCGUGGACCACUCUACUAUAAGCAGUGCGCGUUUUGUGAGGUGCAUGCAAUUCUCGGAGGACAUGGGUUUCUCGGCACAACCCCGUUGACAACAAAAACAACGAUCGCAAACUGAGCAACAAACAGAGAAAACCACAGAAGAUGAAGAUUUGUUGCCAAAAAGAAAAGGAAAGUCAGUUAUCUUGAAUUAUUUCGGUUACAAGAUGGAUAAUGUCGACCAAAACACGUUCUGUGUUCAUCUGUUGCCACAAUAACGUCUGGCGGAGCCUGGUGUACAGCCAGUUUGGUAUUUUCGUGGACUGAGGCGCACCAAGGUCCGCCAAGCUGGGCGUGGUGGCGUGGCACGGGGAGGUGUCGACAGAAUCAGCUGGCGCUAGUGGUGCAACGGAUCAUCAUUGAUCCGUGAUCCGUUCGGAUCGACGUCAUCGGUUCGGCACACACGUUACCCGCGGUUCGAUUUCUGAAAAAAAAAUUGGCUUCCCUGUCAACUAUGAUGAGGAAGGAAAGAGGUCAGUGGACAAAACUGCGAAGGUGUGUAGGCACUGUGGCAUAAGAAAGCCAUAUGACAGUGGAAACACAUCGAGCAUGUUCACGCAUUUGAAAGCGACAUCACCCGGGUGUUUUAAUGACAGGUGUUGUGCCGUAGACUGCACCCCUGCCGUAGAACGCACCCCUGCAGUAGAACGCACCCCUGCAUCCCCUCCACUCGUUAGCUUCUUAAAGUGGAGAUAAUGAUCUCAUAUUUAAAGAAACACGAGUAUUAGAUCAUGACAACAUGUCAAAUGGAGCAGCAAACUUUCAUUUUCUUUUUAUGUGUCUCAAAAAUGCAAAUAUAGAGGUGUACUUGGGUAUAAACUGUACAGAAAGCUGUCCAGGUAGAGAGCAUUAUAUUUUCGGGACAGCAAUAUUCCAAGGGCUGUUGUUUUUGGCUUCUUUGAAUAGCCUGAAUGAAAUUAUUACAGGCAAACGCUUUUGAAUCCAUCCAAUGUAAGAAAAACUUGGAUUAUUUCGCCUCGUUAUGUACUUUAAACCGCGCUCCCGUCAGGGGGUGCAUUCUACGGCAGGGGUGCAUUCUAUGUCACAACACCUGAGAUAAAACGAAAGCUGGCCAGCAACCACUCAUCACCGCAGCAUUUAAGCAGCCUCUUCCUGCGGAAUCCGACCGGGUUAAAGCUAUCACAAACGCUAUCGGUGUGUUUAUAGCUACAGACAUGAGGCCAUAUUCAGUUGUGCAAACGAGGGCUUUAAAAACAUGCUGAAAGUGCUUGAGCCACGUUACAAUAUCCCACCGCGCACAUACUUCAUUUUUGGUUCAUUGUUACAUUUUAAAGGAAGGAGAUAUGCCUAUAUAUUGCACUUUAAGUUGUUUUUCAUUAAUAAUUAUGUUGAAAAGAAGAUAUUAUGCCGUAUGCACUACUUUUAUAUAUUUUAAUUCAACCAUUUAAGUGUUUAAUAUACAGACAAAACUUAUGUUUAUUUGUCUUGUUUUUUUUUUUGUUUUGUUUUUUUGCUUUUUGCUGAUCCGAAAAAUGAUCCGAUCCGUGACUCUUGAUCCGAGGAACGAUCCGAUCCGUGAGUGUUGUGAUCCGUUGCACCACUAGCUGGCGCAGUGACAUUUUCGUGCUCGCCUCCGGCGUGUAAAGUGCGCCGAAAUCUCGCCGUAUCAAACCUGGUCAGCUUUCAGCGCAGGCGGAGCGCAGCUAGUCUAGUGGUAUUUUGGUAGACUGGCAGCGUAUCGGCAUACGUCACCAAUGCCUCACUGGCAGGUUUCCACAGUGUCAGGCACAUUUCAGUGCAAUAGAUAAACAACAACAACAAAAAAUCUGAGUCAGCACAUACAUUUAGAUCUAUAUAUUCUGAUCUAUAUCUGAUCUGAAGAGCGCCUUUGGCACGCUUUUAGACACUCAACCUAACCAGAUUAACACAGUUGAAACAGCAUUUAAUUAAAUUGAAAUAAAUAUCUAGUAAACACACAUGAUGAAGUUAACAUGAUAUGUAAUUCGUCUCCCCCCUUUUCUUUCUUCCUCGUCCUCUCAUUUCUCACGCAGUUCGACCUGGACAUGUCUCCAUGUCCUCUCCCCGUCCUGCUGCAGCUGCUGAACAGAUGAUUUGUUUCAGUGAUCAGAUGAGUUAUUUACUUUAAGCCUACAUAUUAAUAUUAUAAUAGUCAGUUUUGUGAGCCCAAUUUAUUUUAUAUGCCAACAUCAAUGAAAAAAAGAGACAGGCCACGGAGCGCAAUGCGUCAUUUACGUACAGAUGGUUCAGAUUUUAAUGCCAUCAUUGGAAUUUAUGUUGUGAUCUGUGCGUACAACCCACCUUUGUCACGUAAGGUUUAAAUAUAUGCAACUUUAUGUGAGCGUCUUUAUUUGUGGAAAAGGGUGUUUGUCUUACCAGUGGGUACAACCUUACACACACCAAAUCCAUCCGUGCUUAUAUGAGACAGUGUGCAGGACACCCUCUGCAGCUCUUACAGCGACACUUAUUGAGGGGCUGCCUUCUGUUGCCAUCAUGUGGCAUUGCUGUCUUCACACAUCUCUUUUUGUCUUUGACUACUUCACGAAAAUUGUAAUACGCCUCGCCCUUGGCGGAUUUAAAGGCGAGGAGAGGAGCUUAUGUUAUUGGUCAAAACAGGUCUCGGCUGUGUUAAACCCACUCCACGCCCUCUCCCCUCCCUCCCUACCUACCUCUUACUCCGCUGGGAGGAGCUAAGUUAGGGAGGGGGACACUUGCGCCGUGCUGCUACACUCACCAAAAUACCAAAUUGUGCUUGGGAACGCCUUGUCGGCGCGGCGGACCUGACUUACACCGCGUCUGCGCCAUGUUGCCUUAUUUAUCAACCGUGCAUAGAAAAGGUCCUAAAUUCUGAUGUGGGAAUGAAAUUUAGAAUGUGCAUAAGUACAAAAAAAUCUGUAUUUAUCAAACAUUCGGACACCGGUCGUACGCACACAUGUAAGUAAUCGGUGAUGAUAAAUCCCACCUGUUCUUUACUAUGGUGCUUGUGCAUGGUUAGGGUCUUUUGCAUUCAGAAAUGCCUCCAGUUGACCAUAUAUGGUAUCAACAAUCCCUUUAAAAAUGCAUGAAUGGAUUUUUUCCCCCUUGACAAAAUCAUGGAGGUGCACACUCACAGAGCUGUUCUGCAGAAUGAAUGAGUCGUGCGUUCCUCCAGGCCACCAGGCAACAAUGUUUAACAGAUACAUAUGUGCAUCGCAGAUUAUUUGUGCAUUGAUUGAAUGAAAUCCUUAUCUAUUAGCAUAACUGAAUUUAUAUUGUGAAGAUGCUUUUAUUGCGACGUGGGUGCAAUCUAUGGCUCCAAUUAUGUUUGGGAAUCCGGCAAUGGCGUGAAAUCCUUGUUUUAUUUCGGCUUGUUGGUGAUGUGUGUAUGGGAACUGGACAUAAGUUGAGGCCAGAGAAAUUAUUGCAUCCAACUCUGCCGGCAUGAUUCUGCUUAGCGUUGGCUGCAAAAUGUAGUUUAUUUCUUCAAUCUUAUGCUGAAUUGUUCCGGUGGCCAAAAAUCCCAGGGUGGACAUUAACUGGAUGUGCACUGGGAUGGCUUUGGAGCGUUUUGUCUCUCACUCCAACACGGGUAGUAAAUCCCAUUAAAUUAUCCCACAUGGGUAGUAAAUCCAUUAAAAUGUUUUUGGGGAAGCGGUACCUGCUGAGAGUCAGCUCUGUUUUCUCACUGAACGGAUCAGCACGGUCUUUAAAAACGCGCUUCCUGCGGAGCAUACGUUCUCCAAGUCCUCUAAUAGUGCAAAAUAAGCCGUGAUACUUGUAUUUGUACUUGUAAGACUUAAUUUGAGGUUGUCCUGUCACAGCUGAUUUUUUUGCUUGUCACAACAAUCAUUCAAAAUGUCUGCUAAAUAACUAUUUGAUAAAUUUUGUACAGAGGCAACAGAGAACACGUGUGUAUUUUGAGAUUGCUGAAUGCUGUUUCUCCUUGAAUGGGUUCUAUUUGAAGUUUCACUGUUCUACCACUAAAUUUUAUGUGUACACAUGGUCAGAGUUUACGCACGUUCCUUAGCACAAUUACAUGUUGAUAAAUUCCACACACCUGUGCGUGGGAUUCUUCAUAUGCAUUCAGUACGCACACAUCUGUGCGUACACAUGGUUGAUAAAUGAGGCCUCACUAACGGUUUUCUACAUUUCAAUGUAGGGCAGUCACUGAGGCCAACCACAAGAUGGUGCUAUCAUACCAUAAUUAAAAAUUAGUAUAGUUACAUGCUGCUGACUGCAAACAUCUUUUGAGUAUUCACACAUGGAGCGGGGCCAUUGUUUUGCAUAGGCAUUAGUUUUACUAAAGCACUAAUCCUCAUCUCUGUUUAUUUACAACACUCAUACAAUUUUUUUUUAACUUAAGGUUAUCAAAAAUGUCUGCAUAUAUGACACUUCUCCAACUGCUUCUUUUCUACAACUUAAUGCAUGUUUAACUGCAGCUAUUCUAAAAUUUCUACAUAAUUUCUUCUUGUUCUCCACCUCUUCAACAGUUUAAACAUUUUUACUUUUCUUCUUUUGUAGCAGUUCUGCAUGGCUGUUUCAGCAUUCAGCAUUUCCAUGCAUUUUCUGCAAGGAAAUGCAAUUUUUGUAGUUGUCGUAUAUAUUCCUGUCGGUCGUUUUUAUUCUUCUGCCAAUUUUGCUACUUUUUUUCAUCUUCCCACUUUGUGCUAUUUCAACCUUUCAAACUUUAUAGUAAUGCACUCCUUCAGUGUCAUUUAUUACAUAGGUGUUGUGUUACACAGAGGAGGGCCUAAGAUUUUAAAAUUUUGUAAGGGUUGUGGCCACCCGAUUUGUCCCGGAAACACGUUUUGUACUUAGUAACCUUUAUUUAACCAGGAAAUAAACCCAUUGAGAUUCAGAAUCUCUUUUACAAGGGAGUCCUGGCCAGGAUAGCAGCACAAGAAGUUCCACAUUAAAAAAAAAAAAAAAAAAAACACGCAGAAAAACAAAACAGUUACAGUAUGCAAACACAACAAUAAAUCAGCGUUCAGUAAGAGGACGUGCAUUCAGGACUCAAAAACUCCUUAAUUCUAGUUUUAAAAUGUUCCACACUUGGCAGAUAAUCCAAUUUAAAAUAACCCUGUAAAUUACACCAGGAGGAGGGUGCAAAAGCCUUGAAAGCGCUUUCGCCAAAAACCGUCCUUGUCUGAGGAAUAGCGUACAUGAUCUGUCCAUCAGACCGGAGAUUACUCCUGUUGGUGAUUUUGGGAGUUAAGAGGGAACAUAGGUAAGAGGGCAAGUCACCUAGAAUGGCCUUGUAAAGAAAGAUAUACCAAUGUUCCAAUCUACGAUUUUGCAGAGAGGACCAACCAACACUCUCAUAUAAGCUGCAGUGAUGAGUACGAAAAUCUAAGCCAGUUACAAAUCUUCAUGCUGCAUGAUACACUGAGUCCAGUAUUUUUAAAGAAGAGAGAUUUGUAUGCAUGUAUAAAAGUCCCCAUAAUCAAGUAUGGAUAAAAACGUUGCCUGUAUAAGCCUUUUUCUUGCACCAAAGGAGAAACAACCCUUGUUUCUAUAGAAGAAACCCAGUUUCACCCAGAGUUUCUUUGUAAGACACUCAAUAUGGUGCCUAAAGGACAAAUUUUCUUUCAAGUGAAAUCCCAGGUAUUUGUAGACAGAAACUCUUACAACUAAUUUCUCAUUUAGAGUAACAAUCUGACAGACGUCAUCUGAUUUCAAUGAUUUUGAAAAGCACAUCAUUUUAGUCUUGUCAGUAUUGAGUACAAGUCUUAAUUGAUAGAGAUUUUUUUUUUAUUGGUAUUUUAUAUUUUAUAUUUGUUUUUUAUCUACCUAUGUAUUUUAUAUUUGUUUUUAUUUAUGGUGUAUUUGUACCUCAAUUUUACUUUGCUGUAUUUUAAUCUUGUAUUCUGUGUUUUUGAUUAUAUUGUUUACUGUCUGUUUUAUGUAUUUCGCUGUGUCUUAUUGACCUGUACAGCACUUUGGUCAGCUUCGGUUGUUUUUAAAGUGCUCUAUAAAUAAAGUUUGAGUUGAGUUGAGUUGAGCUAAUGAUGGAGCUGAACAAUACAAAACAGUGUCAUCUGCAUAGAAGUGGAAACUGGCAUCAGUUACAUUUUGACAUAAUGCAUUAAUAUAAAUAGUAAAUAAAAUAGGACCCAGUAUGGACCCCUGAGGGACACCGUUUCGAAUAGACAAGCAGUUGGAACACAGACCAUCAACCUGAACCCUUUGUGUUCUGCCACUCAAGUAGUUACCAAACCAUUUCACCGUAUUAGUAGACAUUCCAAUAUCCUCCAAUCUCUGGGACAAGAUAGAGUGGUCGACCGUGUCAAAAGCCUUUGACAGAUCUAGGAACAAAGCAACACAAUAUUCUUUAGAGUAGGCCUGUCGCGAUAAUCAAUAAAUCGCCUUAUCGCUCGGUAAAUAAAAACGAGGUCGGUCAUUUUGCCAGCCUCGAUAAUUGACGUGCGUUUGUUUUCCUCCUCUCUCGCUACCAAACACGCUGGAUGAGAGAAGAGGUCUCACUCUGCGCAUUUUUCUCGGCACCUGGGGGCGUUGGCUCUAUAGCGGAAUGAACGGAGUUAGUGAACCCUCCUGUCAGUCAUUCAGUAUCUUUGUCACGGGGGGGGGCGUGCGCACAGGCACACAGACACAGACUUUUGGAUACAGUGCUGCAAGUGAGCGUCGUGAGUGAAAAGCAAGCAAACAGAAUGAACACGACAGCUUUGGUGUCUAAACUGAACGCAACAGCCCAAGUGUGGGAAUAUUUCGGCUUUAAACCAGUUUUGUUUUCGUCAACCACAAAACUCCACGUGUGUGCGCGCGUGUGUGUCUCUGUGUUGGAGGAGCACAGCAGGAUGAUGAGAGCUGUCAGAGCGGACUGAAGCUGCUCCUACAUGUUUAGCGUUUAACUGCCUGAGUUUUGCAACUCUGUUCGUCAUUUUCGUCUCGUCCCAUCAAGGUAAACGCACUUUCGUCUCGUCACAUUUUAGUCAUCUCCGACUUAUGUUUAGCUCGUCAACGUUACGUCUUCGUCGUGGGUGAAAUUAAAGUUUAUCAGUUUUGACACGGUGUACUCGCAUUAUUAUGCCAUUUAAUAUCAUUAUCUAUAAUUUAAAAAACGGUGUCAAUAAUAUCGUUUAUCGGCGAUAAUUUGUAGCACAUUUAUCGUCCAGCAAAAUUUGUUAUCGUGACAGGCCUACUUUAGAGUCAAUAGAACAAAUGAAAUCAUUUAACACUUUCAUCAGGCAGUGACUGUGCUGUGUUUUUUAGGGAAACCAGACUGUAAUUCAUUUAAAAUGCUAUUUGAUGUCAAGAAAUUUUUCAGCUGAUCACUUAUAAGUCCUUCCAAGACCUUGGCCAAAAUAGGUAAUUUGGAUAUCGGCCUAUAAUUAUUGGGAUUAGACCGGUCAACACCCUUCAGUAAAGGAGUGACAUAUGCUGACUUCCAAAUGCUAGGUAUUAUCCCAGUUUCUAUAGUCCAAUUGAAAACAUAAGUCAAGGGGACUUCAAUAUGCUCAGUAGCAAGUUUUAAAAAGAAAGGACCCAACCCAUCAGGACCAGGGGAUUUCUUGGGAUUUAACCUUGAGAGAGAGUCAUAUAUCUCAUCUCUAGACAAAGGUGCAAGAUCAAAAUCAAAAGGUAGAUUUUCCCUGGACAAUGAGUGAUCCUGUUGACUCACCACUUGUGGUAUGUCGUGCUCAAACAACAACCCAGAAGAUAUAAAGUGCUGGUUCAAAGAAUCUAGCAUACUUUUCUUGUCUGUAAUGGUCUCAUCAUUCAACUUUAAUGUAUUUGGCAGCACAGUAUCCUUUGACCCUGAAGACAGUUAUUUAAUCAGUUUCCAGAAUUUAGAAGGGUUGUUUGCACUGUCACAAAUUUUAUUAAGAUAAAAAUCGGCUUUGGCUUUACUAGGCCUGUCGCGAUAAUCAAAAAAUCGCUGUAUCGCUCGGUAAAUAAAAACGAGGUCGGUCAUUUUGCCAGCCUCGAUAAUUAACGUGCGUUUGUUUUCCUCCUCUCUCGCUACCAAACACGCUGGAUGAGAGAAGAGGUCUCACUCUGAGCAUUGUUCUCGGCACCUGGGGGCGUUGGCUAUAUAGCGGAAUGAACGGAGUUAGUGAACCCUCCUGUCAGUCAUUCAGUAUCUUUUUCACGGGGGGGGCGCGCGCACAGGUACACGUAAUGGGGCACAGGCACACAGACACAGACUUUUGGAUGCAGUGCUGCAAGUGAGCGUCGUGAGUGAAAAGCAAGCAAACAGAAUGAACACGACAGCUUUGGUGUCUAAACCGAACGCAACAGCCCAAGUGUGGGAAUAUUUCGGCUUUGAACCAAAUGAAAGAGGUGAGCCCACAAAUACGGACGAGCCGAUAUGUCGUAUUUGUCCCAAAAUUGUGGUGACAAAGAAGGGGAAUACGACGAACAUGCAUGCGCACCUCAAGCACAAUCAUCCCCUCCAUUUUUCCCAACUGAGCAAAAAAAGUACCGCCGGAGGUGCUGCAGAGCCAUCGUCCCGACAGGUACCGUUUACUGAAGCGUUUGGCAAGCAAAGCAAAUAUAAACAAAACAGUGCAAAAUGGUGCGCGCUGACAGACAGCGGAAAUUGAAGUUUAUCACUUUUGGCAUGGUGUACUCGCAUUAUUAUGCCAUAUAUUAUCAUUUUCUAUAAUUUAAAAAACGGUGUCAAUAAUAUCGUUUAUCGGCAAUAAUUUGUAGCACAAUUAUCGUCCAGCAAAAUUUGUUAUCGUGACAGGCCUAGGCUUUACGUAUCUGAGAGACACACUUGUUCCUCAGGUGGCUAAAAAGUUGCCAGUCUGAGCUUUUUUUGGAUAUUCUUGCAGUUGCCCUGGCAAGAUCUUGUUUAUGAAUUAGAUCAGACAGUUGCUCUGAAAACCAUGGAUUAUCACGACCUUUAAUCUUGUAUUUUCUGAGAGGAGCAUGUUUGUCUAUAAUGUCCAAAAAUAAGGAAUUAAAAUACUGUAAAGCUGUCUCAGCAUCUGGAAUCAAAUUUACCCUGGUCCAAUCACAUAGAUAUAUGUCAUUUAAAAAGGCUUGUUCGGAAAAUGACUUAAAAUUACGCCUAAUUAUGAUACACUUUGAUAACUUUGUGUCUCUCACACAAGCAAUAAUGCAGUGAUCACUAACAUCAUUUGCAAACACAGCGGUAGCCUGGUAUUUUUGGGGAAAAUUGGUUAAAAUCAAGUCAAGGAGUGUCGACUUCUCAGGGCGUUUAGGGUUUGGCCUAGUUGGUGAGUCAAUAAUUUAAGCCAAAAGGGCUGAGUCACAGAAACAUUUAAAAGAAUCAGAAGCAGGGGUUAACCAAUCCCAAUUUAAAUCCCCUAUUAAAAGCAGAUCAUUGUAGUUAAUAGUUGAUAAGCAGUCAGACAAUGAGAGUAGUGUAUCCUUUAAGGCAGAAGGUCUAUAACAUCCCCCUACUGUCAUAACACAGCUCUUCGUAAAUUCAACUUUCAAGACAAGCAAUUCAAAUUGUUUAGGCACAGACUUGGAUAAUUGUACUGUUGCCUGAAAUGUAUUUUUAACAUAAAUUGCUACGCCUCCACCUUUGGCACAGCGAUCAGCAUCCAAAUAAAUAUGACUAUCAGGCGUAGAUCUACUCAGCCAUGUCUCAGAUAAAACCAUAAUGUCAGCACUUGUUGAUUUGGCCCAAAUUCUAGCCAUAUAAAUUUUGGGCAAAAGACUUCUCACAUUCAUAUACAAAACCAAUACGAGACCUAUUCAAAAAUUCAGCAGGGGUUUGUAGUGAUAUCACAUCAGACACAGGGCCUGGGUUAGGCUGAACAUUCCUUGAUAUCAACAAGCAUGAUCAUACAUUUCAACAUACGUGUUUCAUGAAAAUGCUUCUUGAUUUUCUUACAGACAUCAUUCAUCGUAACAGGCUGAGAGUCAUUUGAUGGGAUAAAGCAGUCCUUUAGGAGAAGAAGGCUUAAAAGAUAAUUAAAGUUUAUAUGCUUUGAAACCUGGCUCAUUUCAAGCAUCGAGCACCCUUGAUUGAUAUCAAAGUCCUGCGCCCAGCUAGUAACCUUUGACCGUGAUGACAUACAAAGAAAGCACAGGCAGGAGGGCGAGAAUUAUACUCGCCAUGAUUCAGAUUCAGAUUCAGAUUCCUUUAUUAGCCAUUGUGUAAAACACAUAGGAAUUUGCUUUGGCAAUAGCAUGAGUGUGUUCGGAUGUUUUUUCACAGAUAACAUAAAACACAAACAACACGAAAAAUAGAUAAAUAUAAAGUGCAGUAGGAUCAAUAGUGCAGAUGUAGUUCAGUGUCAAAGUCCCUAGUGGGCGGGGUGAGGAGGGAAGCCAGACUCAUUGAGCAGCCUGGCAGCAGAGGGGAAAAAACUGAGUCUAUGGCGUGCUGUGGUGGCCUUCAGCAGCUGCAUCCUUCUCCCAGAGGGAAGCAGGGAGAGGAGACUGUGGCCAGGGUGGGAGGGGUUGGCCAUGAUUUUCUUGCCCUCCUCAGCGCCCUGGAGUUGUGCAGGGACUUGAGGGAGGGCAGCGGGCGGCCAAUCACCCUCUCCGCUGAACGAAUCACCCUCUGCAGCUUGAUAAGGUCUCUUGCAGCUGCAGCAGGGAACCAGGUGAUGAUGGAGUGGGUGAGGAUGGACUCAAUGAUGGCCGUGUAAAACUGAGUCAUCAUGGUCCUUGAUAGUCUGUACUUCCUCAGCUGCCUUAGGAAAAACAGUCUCUGCUGGGCCUUUUUCAAAAGGGACAUGAUGUUAAUUUCCCACUUCAGGUCCCGGGAGAUGGUGACGCCCAGGAGCUUAAAGGACUACACAGAGUUUACCAGGGUGCCUCCCAGCGUGAUGGGAGGGGGAGGGGCUGUGUUCUUGUGGAAAUUCACCACCAUCUCCACUGUCUUUUGGGGAUUAAGGUCCAGGUUGUUGCUACUGCACCAACUGCGCAGCCGCUCGAUCUCCCUCCUGUAGGCCGACUCGUCCCCCUUGGAGAUGAGGCCCACCAAGGUAGUGUCAUCGGCAAACUUGAGGAGCUUGACUGACGGGUGGAGAGAGACACAGGUGUUGGUGUACAGGGAGAACAGUAGCGGGGACAGGACACAGCCCUGCGGGGAACCGGUGCUGGUGGACCUGGAGUUGGAAAUGCUUUUCCCCAGCUUCACCCGCUGAGACCUGUUGGUCAGAAAGUCUGUAAUCCACUUGCAGGUGGAGGCAGGCACUUGCAGCAGGGACAGCUGGUGCUCCAGGAUGGAUGGUAGGAUGGUGUUGAAGGCUGAACUGAAGUCGGCGAACAGGAUCCUGGCAUAGUUGCCGGCAGUGUCCAGAUGGUUUAAGAUGAAGUGCAGAGCCAUGUUCACGGUGUCCUCUGUGGAUCUAUUGGCUCUGUACGCAAACUGCAACGGGUCCAGCACAGGAUCAGUGAUGCGCUUCAGGUGAGCCAGGACAAGGCGCUCCAUGACCUUCAUGACCACAGAGGUCAGGGCGACAGGUCUAUAGUCAUUGAGGCCUGUGACCUUGGCCUUCUUGGGGAUGGGGAUGAUAGUUGAGGCCUUAAAACAUGCUGGGACAUGACAAAGCUCCAGAGAGGUGUUGAAGAUGUUGGUGAACACCGGGGCGAGCUGGUCAGCACAGUGCUUCAGGACAGAGGGGGAGACAGAAUCCGGUCCGGGCGCCUUCCGGGGGUUCUGGCUCCUGAGCAAGGCAGGAUGGGUGAAAUAGGCCUCAGCUGCAGAGCUGGGUAGUAGGCCUCAGGCUGCAGGGAUGGGUGGAUGAGGUAGGCCUCAGGCUGCAGAGCAGGGUGGAUGAGGUAGGCCUCAGGCUGCAGAGCAGGGUGGAUGAGGUAGGCCUCAGGCUGCAGGGCUAGAUGGAUGAGGUUGGCCUAAGGCUGCAGAGCAGGGUGGAUGAGGUAGGCCUCAGGCUGCCGGGCAGGGUGGAUUAGGUAGGCUUCAGGCUGCAGGGCUGGAUGGAUGAGGUAGGCCUCAGGCUGCAGAGCUGGGUGGAUGAGGUAGGCCCCAGGCUGCAGGGCUAGAUGGAUGAGUUAGGCUUAAGGCUGCAGAGCAGGGUGGAUGAGGUUGGCCUCAGGCUGCCGGGCAGGGUGGAUGAGGUAGGCUUCAGGCUGCAGGGCUGGUUGGAUGAGGUCGGCCUCAGGCUGCAGAGCAGGGUGGAUGAGGUAGGCCUCAGGCUACUGAGCUUUUCUUGUUGUGGGUACUGCUGCAGAUCUUGUCUGCAAUCUAGCCACACUUUAGCAGCUCCCAUAGUCUUGAGUAGGUUUUAAAGGCUAACAGGUGGCCUAUGGAGUAGCCAAACAAAGUAGAGCAGAGUUGUUUCCCAAAGGAAAAUGCCAAAAUCCACAACCUUGAUGCAAUCUUUAAGUAAACUAGAACACUGAAUAGUCCACAAUGGAAAAAUACUAAGUAUUAUAAUCCAAAAGGAAACAUUAAAAACAGACAAACACUGAGCAGAGACUGAACAGAGACACCACACAUGCUGCCAUCUUGCGCAUGUGCAAAACAGACGUCACUUCCUCUGCUAGCCAUCUUUGCGACAGCUCAGCAAUUAUUUGCUCCUAGCAGUUUGCGACAGCUUUGACACUAUUUUGGCAGCAUCAGCGAGCCCGCUUCAGAAUGGAGGCGUCAAUUUAUCAACAGCUACAGGCCUUUCUCCUGAUUGGAGUGCUUCCCCCAACUGAAGCAGAAUGGCGCACAGUUUCUACAAAGUUUCCACCACUAACUUAAUUUUAAAAUUGUAACGUGAAAGGCUUGAAUGAAUGUUACUAUUUUUUUUGUUGCCCAGCAGUCUGUUGUUUAUUUCAGAGUCCAUUGUUUAUUUCUUUUUAUGUUUUGUAAAUAUUUUUUGCAAUCAAUCCUGUGUCAUGUCCUCAGCACAUUGCAAUUUUAAGCUGAUCAUAACACAUUACAGGUAUCGAUAGAUAGAUAGAAAGAUCACACUAAGGCUUCACGAUAUAACAGUAUGUUUCCUCUAAACGAUAGAAAAUUUCUAUCGGGAUACAUGAGCUCUAUCAUUUCUAUCGCAGUGUCGCAAAAACACGCUUUACGGCAGUGUUUUACGGCAGUGUUUUACGUUGUGACGCUCCAUAUAUGGCAUGCCCACACGCGCUACUGCCAAUGUGAAAAACACAAGCAUGGAGGGGCCGGGUGUUGUGGCGCAAGAGACGACAAUUCUCGUGCAUCUAAUGCAGACGAGCCAACGCAGAUGGAGGAGCUGCUGCCGAAACGGGGGCAACGUCGGUUGUGUGGUCUUGGUUUGGUUUUAAAAGAAGCGACACGGAGCAGACCGCUGUAGUUUUAUUCUGAGUCAGUACAUGUAGAUCUAUAUCGAUAUAUUAUGAUGUAUAUCUGAUCUGAUAAGCGUGUUUGGCACGGGUUUGGACACUCCACCUGACCGAAUUAACACAGCUGAAACCGCAUUAAAUUAAAUAUCCAAUAAACAGUCACACAUGAUGAAGUUAACAAGAUACUUAAUUCGUCUCCCCAAUUAUCCUCCUUCUUCCUUGCGCAGCUUGAUAGGUGUUAUGCCGUAGCAUGCACCCCUGAAUCCCAUCGACUCAUUAGCUUCUUAAAGUGGAAAAAAUUAUCUCAUAUUUAAAAAAAACACGAGUAUUGGAUCAUGACAACAUGUCAAAUGGAGCAGCAAACUUUCGUUCUGUUUGUAGGUAUUUAAAAAAAUGCACAUACAGAGGUGUACUUGGGUAUUUAAACUAUGCUGUGUAGGUAGAGAACAUAUUUGCGGGGCAGCAAAUAUUCCGAAUCAGAGGGCGAUUGUUUUUGGCAUAUCUGAAUAGCCAGAAUGAAAUCAUUAAAGGCACACACUCUAGAAUCAGUCCAAUGGUAAGAAAAACUUGGAUUAUUCCGCCUUGUUGUGUACUUUCAAUCGCGCUCCUGUCAGGGGGGGCUUUGACGGCAGGGUUGCAUUCUAUGGCACAACACCUGACAUGUCUUCGUGUCCUCUCUCCGUCCUGCUGCACCUGCUGCUGUUGCGGCGGCUGAACAGAUGAUUUGUUUCAGUGAUCAGAUGAGUUAUUUACUUUAAGCCUACAUACGAAUAUUAUAAUAUUCAGUUUUGUGGGCCAAAUUUAUUUUAUAUGCCAACAUCUGUGAAAGAAAGAGCCAGGCCACGGAGCACGAUGCGUCAUUACGCACAGAUGGUUCCGAUUUUAAUGCCAUUAUUGGUAUUUAUGUUGUGAUCUGUGUGCACAACCCACCUUUGUCACGUGAGGUUUGAAUAUGUGCAACUUUACAUGAGUUUCUUUAUUUGUGGAAAAGGGUGUUUGUCUUACCAGUGGGUACAACCUUACACACACCAUAUCCAUCUUAUUUGAGAGUGAGAAGGACGCCCUCUGCAGCGCUUACAGCGACCUUAAUUGAGGAGCUGCCUUCUCUAGCCAUCGAGUGGCAUUACUGUCUUCAGACAUCUCUUGAUCUCUUUGACUACUUCACGAACAUUGCAAUACGCCUCGAUGGUGGUGGAUGUAAAGGCGAGGAGAGGAGCUUAUGUUAUUGGUCAAUACAGGUCUCGGCUGUGUUAAACCCCUCCACGUGCUCUCUCCUCCCUCACUCAAAUAUUUAGUUACUCAAAAUCCGUUCUACAUUACAUGCUGAUGUCAUGUGAAUGAGCUAGCCUAUGUAAUGUAUGGAUGUUCGUUUCAUUAUUAAACCUUGUGUAACUAAUUGUUGUUUACACAAAUGUUGAAUUAUUGAAAAGUGUUUUCAAUAUUUUUCAGAGGGCUCUAAAUAAAAGAAGUCCUGUUUAUCAACGUACCUUGUUUAAUAUAUCAUUUAAACUACAUUUCCACGCAGCAAUUUUAUAUAAACUAUGCAUCAAUUGAAUUUACAAAAAAUGUACUAUAUCGUGAUGUAUAUCGUAUCGGGAUAUAAAAUGAGCUAUAUCGGGAUAUGACCAAAAUCUCAUAUCGUGCAGCCCUAGAUCACACACUACAUAAAAUCCUCUGGAAGUGUGUGGCUGCCCUUCGAGUGGCCACAUAUCUCUGGAGCAUCCCCCCUCAAUACAUUGAAAAGUCAGAGAUCCAGGAUUUUGACUGUGUGAUGGCGCUCUCUGAGGCCGAGGGAGGGUGCACCAUGUGCAGCCACACAACCCCAGAGCAUUUCCCCUUGAUAAUUUGAAUGUCAGAGAUCCAGGAUUUUGACCGGGUGGUGGCGCUCUCCGAGGCUGGAGCAGGGUGCACCAUAGGCAGACACACACCUCCAGAGCAUCUCCCCUCGAUAUUUUGAAAGUUGGAGAUCCAUUUUGACCGGGUGGUGGCGCUCUCCGAAGACGUGGAAGGGUGCACCCAUAGGCAGACACACACCUCCAGAGCAUCUCCCUUCAAUAUUUUGAAAGUUAGAGACCAAGAAUUUAGACCGGGUGGUGGCACUCUCUGUGGACGUGGAAGGGUGCACCAUCUGCGGCCACACACUUACAGAGUCCCCCCCCCCCUCCCCCCUUGCCCUUGAUACUUAGAGUCUGAGAUCCAGGAUUUUAAACAGGUGGUGGCGCUCUCCGAGGCCAGGAAAGAGUGCACCAUAUGUGGCCACACACCUCCAAAGCAUUUCCCCUCGAUACAUAGAAAGUCAGAAAUCCAGAAUUUUGACAGGAUGGUGCAUCUCUAUAAGGACGGGGAAGGGUGCACCAUGUGCGGCCACACAACCCCAGAGCAUUUCCCCUUGAUAAUUGAAAAGUCAGAGAUCCAGGAUUUUGACCAGGUGUUGGCGCUCUCUGAGGCCGGGGAAGGGUGCACCAUGUGCGGCCACACACCUCCAGAGCAUUUCUUGUUGAUACUUUGAAAGUCAGAGAUCCAGGAUUUUGACCGGGUGGUGGCGCUCUCCGAGGCCGGAGCAGGGUGCACCAUAGGCAGACACACACCUCCAGAGCAUCUCCCCUCGAUAUUUUGAAAGUCAGAGAUCCAGGAUUUUGACCGGGUGGUGGCCCUUUCCGAGGACGAGGGAGGGUGCACCAUGUGCAGCCACAUACUUCCAGAGCAUCCCCUCUCGAUACUUUGAUGAGUCAGAGAUCCAGGAUUUUGGUCAGGUGGUGCUCUCUGUGUUUCAAAAGGUUUCACAAUCCUGGGCAGGAGCUGUAGCGAAUGCAAUGAUAUUGGCCUUGGAGCCUUCUGCUAGCUAGUCAGCUGAUGUCCGAAAUCAAUUGGCUGUUUGUUUAAAGUUUUUUUAAGGUAACGUAUAUUUGCACAUGCGCAAGUUCUACCGCUGUCCUUGCCUCUUUUCUCCUCACACGAACUUCUGGCAAUUACACUCCCUGGUCCCACUCCCACCAUAAAUGACUUUUCGGUUCUACUCACCCAUCUAUGCACACUCUCACCAAACAUAAUAAUACUGGGGGACUUCAAUAUCCAUAUUGACAACACCAACCUCCCCCUCACCAGAGACUUCUCAUCCUGCCUGGACAGUUUUGGACUCCAUCAAUUCAUCAACUUCCCGACACACACUAAAGGACACACUCUGGAUUUACUCUGCUGCUCUGGCCUCAUCCCAUCCAACUGCACAGCUGAUGAUCUCCACGUAAGUGACCACCUCCUCAUCUCCUUCAGUAUUCCGCUCUCCCUCUCUAGAGUUUAUUCACCACGCCUCAUUACAUUCUGCAACCUUAAGAACAUAAACAUUGACACUCUGCGCUCUAAGAUUAUGAAUAUUGUGAUCCCGGACUGUUACACUACCCCUGAUGACAUAACAUCUCAUUACAACACCUGUUUAAAUAGCAUCCUCAAUUCCCUCGCUCCACUCAAAACACGCUCUGUUUCCUUCUCCACAACUGCACCCUGGUACACCCCCCACCUCCGCUCCAUGAAAACCAAAGGCCGCCAACUGGAAAGACUUUACAAGAAAACUGGACUCUCCAUUCACAAAGAAAUGUACAUUAACCACAUACGCUGCUACAAGGACUCAAUUUCUCACGCAAAAACAGACCACUACUCCGCCCAGAUCAUCUCCAACAAAGGAAACACCAGAUCACUAUUCACUCUCCUCAACAAAUCUCUCCAGCCACCGGACUCCCUCCCUCCCCACCUGUAUUCAACCGACACCUGCAACACCCUAAUGCAGUUUUUUAAUGACAAAAUCUCCAACAUCCAUAAACAACUACACUCAGGUUCUCUUCCCCCUGGACCCUCUCCAAACUCACCUACUCCCCUGCCACACCACCAGCCCUUCUCCAGUUUUCUUCUCCCCAAUGACUCUGAAAUCUAUGAUCUCAUCCAGAAAUCCAAACCCUCAACCUGUCAGCUGGAUCCCCUUCCCACCACACUGCUCAAAUCAUGCCUCCCAUCUGUGCUCCCUCUCAUAUCUGCCAUCAUUCACUCCUCACUCACCACUGGAACUGUUCCCGCAUCCCUCAAGACAGCAGCCAUCACCCCAUCCUUAAAAAACCUGGCUCUGACCCCAAUAACUUCAACAACCUCCGCCCCAUCUCAAAUCUACCGUUUAUAGCCAAAAUAAUGGAAAAGGUCGUCGCCAGCCAACUUCACACCCACCUAACCCAGAACUCCCUCUACGACCCCUUCCAAUCUGGUUUCCGCCCCCGCCACAGCACCGAAACCGCACUGCUAACGACCUUCUCACUGCAUCUGACUCCGGUUCAUUUUCCAUCCUCAUCCUCCUCGACACUAUCUCCCAUCCCAUCCUCCUUCGUAGACUCUCCUCCAUCGGCAUCACCCACACUCCCCUCCGCUGGUUCCACUCUUACCUCUCAGACCGCACACAGUUCAUCCAGCUCAAAUCAUUCAAGUCCGACCCCUCCCCUGCUGUUCAUCAUCUACCUCCUCCCCCUUGGUUCCAUCUUCCAUAAAUUCAACAUUCAAUACCACUGCUACGCUGACGACACCCAGCUCUACCUCUCCAGCUCACCAAACUCCACCCUCCCACCCACCUCCCUCAUCACCUGCCUAUCUGAAAUUAAAUCCUGGUUCACCUCCAACUUUCUCCAAUUAAACAGUCAGAAAACAGAAAUUCUUCUUGUAGGUUCCAAAUCCACCCUAUCCAAAGUUGACAGUCUCUCCCUUCCCAUCGACAGUUCCUCAGUUUCCCCCUCACCUCAGGUCAAGAGUCUGGGUGUCGUCCUUGACAGUUCUCUUUCUUUUAAAUCCCACAUCAGCCUUACCACUCGCACUGCCUAUUUCCACCUCCACCACAUCAAUCGUCUCCGCCCCUCCCUCUCCCCCAACACCACCUCCAUCCUCGUCCACAGUCUCGUCACCUCCCGUCUGGAUUACUGCAACUCCCUCCUCUUCGGUCUCCCUUACACGUCUCUCCAUAAACUUCAACUGGUCCACAACUCCGCUGCCCGUAUCAUCACCAAAACCCCUUCGUCCCACCACAUCACCCCCAUCCUUCAGCAGCUUCACUGGCUCCCGGUCCCUCUACGAAUCCAGUUCAAAAUCCUCCUGUAUACCUUCAAAGCCAUCCACAACCUCGCCCCUCCUUACCUAUCUGACCUCCUCCACAUCGCCACUCCAACACGCCACCUCCGUUCCUCUUCCUCUCUCCACCUCUCUGUGCCCCCUGUUCACCUCAGCACUAUGGGGGGCAGAGCUUUCAGUCGCUCUGCCCCCCGACUCUGGAACUCUUUACCAUCAUACAUCCGCAACAUAGACUCCCUCCCCCUCUUCAAGUCCAAACUCAAAACACACCUGUUUAAACUGGCCUAUCCCUCCCACCACCCCUAACCCACUUUUUUUAAAUUAAAUUUCAAUUGGUAUUAUUAAUUUCUUUAUUUAUUCCUUUGCUGUUGUUCAUGUUUAAUGUUGCUUUGUUGAUUUUAACUGUUUGAUGAUUAAUGAUUUUAAUUGUUAAUAGUGUUUUAUUAUUGUUUUUAUAUGUUCUGUAAAGUGUCCUUGAGUGACGUGAAAGGCGCUUCAAAUAAAAUGUAUUAUUAUUAUUAUUAAGACAGAUCGGGUAGGUAGAAUGGGUGGUGCAACAUGCGGACUACACAGACUGCCGUAAAAUGCAUUGAAAUACGAAGAGAGGAAUUGACAUUUUGUCACGGGUUGCUAUGGAGCCAUUUUUGAUGAGGUCCAUUUUGUCACAGGAGCCCAUUUUGUUCAGCUUAAGGUCCAACAAAAGUGUCAUUGAUUUCAUAAGUUUGGUUCAUACACAGGAGCAGGGCGCUAUGGAGCGAUUCUUAGUUGGAUCUCCUUUUCGACAUACGGACCCUUUUUGUUCCUGAUGGGGUUCAAAAUAGUUGUGAUUAAUUCUAUCGGUUUGGGUCACACAAGGGGGCAGAGCAUUCCUUUUGACGAUUUGUAGAGGGCGCUAUCAAUCUACUUUUAGUUUAAGUCACACAUUUUGCUAACAUUUUGAAACAAGAAAAAUUGCAUUUAAUUGCAAAAAGAUGCAUGGACGUGCUGAGUGCUGAGACAGCCACGCAGAACUGCUACAAAAGAAGAAAAGUAUGAAUGGAAAAACUGUUGAAGAGGUGGAGAAGAAGAACUUGUAUGUUUGUAGAAAUUUUGGCAUAGCAGCAGUUAAACAUGCAUGAAAUUGUAGGAAAGCAGCAAUUAGAGCAGUGUUAUACAUGCUGAAAUUUUUGGUAACCUUAAGUUAAAAAAGAGUCAGAUGAGUAUUGUUAAUUUACAGAAAUGAUUAUUAGUAGAAGUGCAUUGAAAAAAUCAAUGCCAAAAAUUAAAUGUAUAACAAUUGCCCUGCUCAAUGUGUGAAAACUGAAAAAAGCUGCAGUUAAAAAAGGCGUAUGAAUGUAAAAUUAUAAGCGCUGAAUAAGUGGUGUUGUCAAAGUAUUAAAGAGCUACAUUUAAUAUACUUUUAUGAAUGUGGAAAAUGCUAAAAUUGUGUGUCUUAUGUAAAUGAACAUAAGUAAUAAUCAGUUUAGGUGCUUUGGAAAGACAAUUACCGAAAAAGUUAUGUAUAACAAACUCCCCAAGAAAUGUGGAAAUACUCGAAAGAUGUUUGCAGUCAGCAUGUUGCCAUCGUAAUUUUUCAUUAUGGUAUGACAGCACCAUCUAGUGCUGUGCUCCAGUGACUGCCCUACAUUUAAAUAUAGAAAGUGUUCCAGAUCUGAAAUUAAAGAAAGGUGUAAAAAUGUAAAAUUAUUAAAGUGCUGAGUAAGUGGUAUUAAUGUCAAAGUAUUAAAAGCUCAAAGUUAACUACUUGUAUGAAUGUUAAAAAUGCUCAAGUGAAGAAAAAGUUGUAUGACUUAUGUGAAUAAACAGAAAUAAUGAUCAGUGUAGGUGCUUUGGAAAGACAAGUGCCUAAAAAUGUGUGUAAUACAAACUCCCUAUCAAAUGUGGAAGUACUCAAAAGAUAUUUGCAGUCAGCAUGUAACCAAAGUAAUUUUUGAUUAUGGUAUGACAGCACCAUCUAGUGGUGUGCUUCAGUGACUGCCCUACAUAUAAAUAUACAAAGUGUGAGAGAGCUGCAGCUGAGAAAGACAUGUGAAAGAAAAUAAUGAAAAGUGCUAAACAUGUGUUUCAGUGACUGCCCUACAUUUACAUUAGGAAAGUGUUACAGAGCUGUAGCAAAAAAAGGUGUAUUCAUAUAAAAUCAUGAAAGUGCAAAAUAAGUGUCAAAAGUAUUAAGAGCUGUUAGUUGUUAAUACUUGUAUGAAUGUAAAAUAUGCUCAAGUGAAGAAAAAGUUGUAUGACUUAUGUAAAAAAAAGGAAAAAAGAUCAGUCUAGGUGCUUUAAAAAGACAAGUGCCUAGAAAUUGAUGUAUGACAAACUCCCCAUGAAAAAUGGAAGUACUCAAAAAAUGUUUGCAGUCAGUGUGUAACCAUAGUAAUUUUUGAUUAUAGUAUGACAGCACCAUCUAGUGGUGUGCUUCAAUGACUGCCCUACAUAUAGAUAUAGAAAUUGUUACAGAGCUGAAGCAAAAAAAAGGCCUCUGAAUGUAAAAUUAUGAAAGUAUGAAGAAGUGGUAUUAAUCUCAAAAGUAUAAAGGGUACAAAUUUUAAAUACUUUUAUGAAUGUAAAAAAGGCUCAAGUGAAGAAAAAGUUGUAAGACUUUUGUGAAUAAAAAUAAAUAAAGAUCAGUCUAGGUGCUUUGGAAGGACAAGUGCCUAGAGAUUUAUUUAUUACAAACUCCCCAUGAAAUGUUGAAAUAUUCAAAAGAGGUUUGCAGUCAGCAGCGUGUAACCAUAGUCACUGGUAGCGGCACAACACUACCCUAAAGUGUGCUUCAGUUACUAACUUACCAAGCUGAAGCACACCGCAAGAUGGAGUAGUGCGUGCAGACAGGGUGUGUAGGAAAUCGACAAGCACACAACACAUGAGAAGUGCUCCACCAUGGGUGAAGUGGAUACCGUCUGAACUUCUUUACCUGGCGCAGUUUUUCCGAGUGGUAUCAUGAAAAUAAGACCAUCUUAAGAAUUCAGGCACUCUCAUGAUCACUUCUAAUUGUACAGAAAGAGUGAAAUAUUGCAAAAAGUAUAAAUGGUAGAAAGGUGAAAAGUACACCCCACUAGAUGGUGCUGUCAUACCAUAAUCAAAAAUUACUAUGGUUACAUUCUGACUGCAAACUUCUUUUGAGUACUUCCACAUUUUACGGCGAGGUUGUAAUAUAUACAUUUUUAGGCAUUUGUCUAUCCAAAGCACCUCGACUGAUCAUUUUUCCUUGUAAUUCACAUAAGACAUACAAUUUUAGCAAUUUUUUUUAUUUUUACCUUCAUCCAAGUAUUUAAGCUUCAGCUCUGUAAUAUUUUCUACAUUUUUAUGUGGGGAAGUCACUGAAGCACACCACUAGAUGGUGCUGUUUUUCCAUUAUUACAAAUGAGUCUCAUCACCCUGUGAUGAAGAAAAUGUCAAGAUGGAGAACCAACCAUCAAUGGUCACAUAUUGCCCCCUACCCAAUUGAAAAAUAAAAGCCCUUUUUCUGUGUACGAACCAAACUUUUGAAAUAAAGUACAAUUAUGACAAACCAAAAGUUGAACAUAAAGGGCUCCAGCAUCAAAAUGGAGAAUCAACUUCAAAUAGCUCCAGAGUGCCACCUUCAAAUUUUAAAAAAAAGUAAGCCCCACUCCUGUGUUUGACCAAAACCUUUGGAAUUGAUGUCACUUAUGUUUGACCUCAAGACAAACAAAAAUGGGUUCAAUGUCAAAAUUGAGGUCCUUCAAGAAAUAGCUACAUAGCACCCCCUUCAUAAUUUCAAAAUGAAACGCCUGCUUCUUUGAGUGACUCAGACCAAUGGACUAACAGACACUUAUCUUGGAUCCAACUGAAAAUGGCACGACUGCGUUCUCUACAACAUUUCUAAAUGAAAGCCCUGCUCUGGUGUGCGUCCAAAACCUGUGGAAUUAGUGACACUGAAGUUGAACCUUAACACGAACAAAAACAGUUUGAAUAUCAAAAUGGAGAUCCAUCAAAACAUGGCUCUAUGGCACCACCUUCAAAUUUCUUUAAUGUGAACCACGUUCCUGUGUUUGACCUAAACCUAUGAAACUGAUGACACUUAUGUUUGACCUCAAGAUGAACAAAAAGGGUUUAACUGUCAUAAUGGAUAUCCAUCAUAAAAAGGCCCCAUAGCGCCCCCUUCAAAAUUUCAAAACGUAAACCCGCUCCUGUGGUCCAGACAAGUGGAUUCAAUGACACUUAUCUUGAAUCCCAAGAGGAAAAGAAAUGGGUUCCAAUGUAAAAAUUGGGGACCCAUCAAAAAAUUCCUUCAUUUCUCCCUCUACAAAAUUUCAAAAUGUAAGUUCAGCUCCUGUGUUUGACCUAAACCGAGGGAUUUAAUGACACCUACGUUGGACUCAAAGUUAAACAAAAAGUUUUCCACUGUCAAAAUGGAUUUCCAACAAAAAUGUGGUCAUAGCGCCCUCUACAAAAAUUUCAGGACUCAGUGCUGUAUUUGAAGUCUGGUGUAUACCCUGUCAAUAGGAAUAGAGCCAGGACCAUCCGUUGUGGAACCCCUGUACUUCUCAAUAAG
rnacentral:lncRNA from 1 species